UACGAAGGGGGCUAGCGUUGCUCGGAAUCACUGGGCGUAAAGCGCACGUAGGCGGAUUGUUAAGUCAGGGGUGAAAUCCUGGAGCUCAACUCCAGAACUGCCUUUGAUACUGGCGAUCUCGAGUCCGGGAGAGGUGAGUGGAACUGCGAGUGUAGAGGUGAAAUUCGUAGAUAUUCGCAAGAACACCAGUGGCGAAGGCGGCUCACUGGCCCGUAUAC
rnacentral:rRNA from 1 species